UACGGGGGGAGCAAGCGUUGUUCGGAUUUACUGGGCGUAAAGGGCGCGUAGGCGGUCAGCACAAGUCAGUUGUGAAAUCUCCGGGCUUAACUCGGAAAGGUCAACUGAUACUGUGCGACUAGAGUGCAGAAGGGGCAACUGGAAUUCUCGGUGUAGCGGUGAAAUGCGUAGAUAUCGAGAGGAACACCUGCGGCGAAGGCGGGUUGCUGGGACGUUACUGACGCUGAGACGCGAAAGCGUGGGGAGCAAACAGG
rnacentral:rRNA from 1 species